CCUACGGGGGGCAGCAGUGGGGAAUAUUGGACAAUGGGGGGAACCCUGAUCCAGCCAUGCCGCGUGUGUGAAGAAGGCCCUCGGGUUGUAAAGCACUUUCAGUGAGGAAGAACGCCUGGUGGUUAAUACCCAUCAGGAAAGACAUCACUCACAGAAGAAGCACCGGCUAACUCCGUGCCAGCAGCCGCGGUAAUACGGAGGGUGCGAGCGUUAAUCGGAAUUACUGGGCGUAAAGCGCGCGUAGGUGGCUUGAUAAGCCGGUUGUGAAAGCCCCGGGCUCAACCUGGGAACGGCAUCCGGAACUGUCAAGCUAGAGUGCAGGCGAGGAAGGUAGAAUUCCCGGUGUAGCGGUGAAAUGCGUAGAGAUCGGGAGGAAUACCAGUGGCGAAGGCGGCCUUCUGGACUGACACUGACACUGAGGUGCGAAAGCGUGGGUAGCAAACAGGAUUAGAUACCCGAGUAGUC
rnacentral:rRNA from 1 species